UGCGGUUAGUGAGAGUUUGGAGACCGUUUGGAGGUUUAUGAGAGUGAGGAGAGAAACUCAGGAGAGAAUGGAGCCAGCUAAGAAGAGGAGGAUGUCCUCCCCUGUGUGGGAACAUUUUGAUCUUAUUCCUCCCAACAAGGUGAAGUGUUUGCUAUGUGCCAGGGAGCUGGGAUAUAACAACAACACCUCAUCCAUGCUUAGGCACUACAGAGCUUUGCAUGAGAAUAAGGGGAACACCGAUUGUGGAGCAAGACCAGAGAACAAUCUCAAAUAGAUGAAGACCUGGUCAGCAUGGUGAUUGAGGACUCCCAGCCAUUUAGCAUUGUGGAGGACAAAGGAUUCAAAAGAUUUGUUAAAUCAUUCAAUCCUAGCUAUGUUCUCCCCACUAAAAAGGUCAUAAAAGCAGUGAAAAUUUAGUUUUUACUGAAUAAAAUAUGAACAGGC
ensembl:lncRNA